rnacentral:rRNA from 1 species
UACGUAGGGGGCAAGCGUUGUCCGGAUUCAUUGGGCGUAAAGAGCGUGUAGGCGGCCAAGCAGGUCAGCUGUGAAAACUCGAGGCUUAACCUCGAGAUGUCGGUGGAAACCAUCUGGCUAGAGUCCGGAAGAGGAGAGUGGAAUUCCUGGUGUAGCGGUGAAAUGCGCAGAUAUCAGGAAGAACACCCGUGGCGAAGGCGGCUCUCUGGGACGGUACUGACGCUGAGACGCGAAAGCGUGGGGAGCGAACAGG